rnacentral:rRNA from 1 species
GCAAGUCGUGCGAGAAAGAUUCUUCGGAAUUGAGUAGAGCGGCGAACGGGUGAGUAACACGUAAAUAACCUGCCCUUAAGUCUGGGACAACAUUGCUAACGCGAUGCUAAUACCGGAUGUGAAGAUAAUCUCUCAUGAGAAUUUCUUUAAAGGUCCUUCGGGAUUGCUUAAGGAUGGUUUUGCGGACCAUUAGUUAGUUGGUAGGGUAAUGGCCUACCAAGACGAUGAUGGUUAGCCGACCUGAGAGGGUGAUC